AGGCUAUAUUGAACCUGCGAUGGUGCUCUGCAUGAACCUGUGAUAGUGAGUUAUAUGUGGAGUGUGCACUGUACAAUGAUGGAGCACCAUUUGGCCUUCCCACAAGAACAAGAUUCUACAAUUAGAGAAAAGGCUACAAGACUAAUUUCAAGUCAGAUGCACAUUAGAAAUGGCACUUGGAUACAACCUAUGUCUCUUGUUAAUCACUUGGAUACCGAGGCCCCAGUGUGACAACUCACUAGAUUAGAAUUUAACAUGAUUGAGAUCUUUCAUGACAAACAAAUGGUGCGUAUUUUGGUGGCUAGCGCAAGUGUUAAGACAUCAGCCUUUAGUUAGCAUUUUUUUUUUUCUAUUUCAUGU